rnacentral:lncRNA from 1 species
GAAAGCCAGGGACACACUGCCUGGCUUUGCUACACCUUUCUAGGCAAAGGCAGUAUGCUCUCCCUCUCCUUGGCCUCCCUGGCUGUCCACACAUCCACACCCACUCACACACACAUGCACAUGAUCAUACACAUUACACAAGCCCACAUGCCCACAGACAUGCUCACACUCACACUCACAUGCAUACACUGCCAUACACAACACACAUACAUACAUUCACACACACUUGCACACACACACACACACACAGUUCUGAUGGCCAAUCUUUUGGGGCUAUGUUGACACUGUGAAGCAGGUGAAACAAAGUCUUUGCCACUCCCUGCUUUGGGCCUAUUAUGUUUGUUUUAUAGUUUAACUCUCAAAAGACAACUUUAUUUUCCAAAAUUAUUCAGGUUCCCAGCCAGGUGCAGUGGCUCACACCUGUAAUCCCAGUACUUUGGGAGGCCAAGGCGGGCAGAUCACCUGAGGUCAGGAGUUUGAGACCAGCUUGGCCAACAUGGUGAAACCCAGUCUCUACUAAAAAUACAAAAAUUAGCCAGACAUGGUGGCACACACAUGUAAUCCCAGCUAUUCGGGAGGCUGAGGCAGGAGAAUCGCUUGAACCCGGGAGGCGGAGGUUGCAGUGGGCCAAGAUCGUGCCACUGCACUCCAGCCUGGGCAACAGAGCAAGACUCCAUCUCAAAAAACAAAAACAAAAUCAUUCAGGUUCUGUAGGGGACCCUCACUGUGUCCUGGAUUCCAUUCCACUUUUAAAGUCCCAAACAGCUUGUAUGGCCACUUCCCUUGACACCCAAACCAGAUAGGAGUCUUAAAUGACACAGAGUAUUGAUGGUUUCUUUAAAAGGAAAUCCACUCUCAAUGGGAAGCUGGAUAACUUCGCAUCCAGAUUUCAUCCAUCUUGGGCUUUGGUGGCUGCUGUUUGUUUUUGUGCAGGAGAAUCUCUCCCAGCCAACGUCGAUUUCACUAACACAGUGGUUAACCUUUGCUCUCUACUCCUGCAUCAAUCUUCCGCCUACCGCAUGUUGAGCCAUGCUGCUUUCUGGCAUUCCUUUUGGAUUUUCAGUUUACUACCCAACUACCAGUCCUAAUAACAUCAGAUAAAAGGGCUUCCGCUGUGCUGCACUUGUUUUCAAAAACUAUAAAUGCCAUCGACCCAGAGUUAAGUCCAGCCUCAGAGAGACAGAAUAUAAAUACCCAAGUGGCCCUGGGCCACUGAGUUCCUCAGACAUUAUGUGCUAUGGGAGUUCCAGAAAGGGGGAUUGCCUGGUUUUGAGUGCAGAAGGCUUCCUGGAGGAGGCGAGAUUUCUGAUGGGCCUCUGUUAUGAGCUAAAUUGAGUCCACCCCAAAAUUCAGAUGUUCAAAUCCUAACCUGUAGUACCUAAGCAUGUGGCCUUAUUUGGAAGCAGAAGCAUAACAGAGGUAAUUCGUUAAGAUGAGGUCACAGUGGAAGAGGGUGGACCCCAAUCUGAUACAACUCGUGUCCUUAUAAAAAGCAGAAAUUUGAAGACAGACACACAAGAAGAUGAAGGCAGAGACCUGGCUGAUGCGGCUAUAAGCCAAGGAACGCCAAAGAUUGCCAGCAAAGCACCAGCAGCCAGGGAGAGGCCUCGAACAAAUUCUCCCUCCCAGCAAAAAGGAGGAAGGAAGGAACCUCCAAAAGAAGCAGGCCAGGCACAGUGGCUCACGCCUGUAAUCCCAGUACUUUGGGAGGUUAAGGCAGGCGGAUCACCUGAGAUCAAGAGUUCAAGACCAGCCUGGCCAACAUGGUGAAACCUCAUCUCUACAGAAAAAUACAAAAAUUAGUCAGGUGUAGUGGCGUGCACCUGUAGUCCCAGUUACUCGGGAGGCUGAGGCAAGAGAAUCGCUUGAACCUGGGAGGUGGAGGUUGCAGUGAGCCAAGAUCGUGCCAUUGCACUCCAGCCUGGGUGACAGAGCGAGACUCCAUCUCAGAAAAACAAAAAAGAACCCUACUGACACCUGGAUUUCAGACUUCCAGCCUCCAGAACUGUGAGAUGUUACAUUUCUGUCAUUUAAACACCCAGUUUGUAGUACUUUGUUGCAACAGCUCUAGUGAGCUAAUACAGCCUUGUAGGACAGGUAGGAAUUUGUAAUGCACAGAGAAAGCCAACUGGCCACAGUUGUUGAAAAUAAUAGAAUCGAAGCGCCCCUAUCACUACCACCCCAGGCCAUCACUUUCAAAGCUGUUCAAAAUGAUGCAGCCGCGUGAGAAGGCCGGAAGGCCAGGGCGGGAGAUGGGCUCCAGGUGGGCCCAGGCUGCCUGCAGAACCAGCUUGCCUCACUGCCUGGUUGCCAAGGAGCACCUGUGGCUAGGAGGAGAUGCCCAGGAAGAAAAUUUGGCCACAUCCCUGCCUGCCUCCCUGGCAAUGGGUGAUGCUCUCUGCCAGCUGGCCCAGCUCCCCCACCACAUACCUGGCUAGGAGUCAGUAGGAAAACAGUGUGUGUUUGUAGGGCUCUGCACUGAAGGGCAUUAGAUCCAUGCAAAGGCUAAUAAAUUAGAGAUAAGUGGGAUUUGUAGAUUUGCUGGAGGUUAGAGCUGCAGGGUCUGGCAUCAGCUCUGGGUCUUUUCCAUGGCCCCAGGCUGGCUCAGGUGUGAGCUGAAGAGGCAAAACUGUCUGUUUAGGUUGCAUUGGGUUCCCCUGAAAGAUCUGUUGAAGUCCUAACCUCGGGUACCUCUGUUUGUGCUAUUUGCAAACAGGCUCUUUGCAGAUGUAAUCAAGGAAAGAUGAGGCAACGCUGAUUUAGUCAGGCCUUAAUCCAGUGACUGGUGUCUUCAUAAGACAAGGAAAUCUGGACACAGACACACAAAGAGGAAAAAGCCAAAGACACAGAGACACAUGUACACAGGGAGAACUCCAUGGGACAACGCAGGCACAGAUCGGAGUGACGCGGCUGCAAGCCAAGGAGCGCCAAGAUUGCCAGCAACCCCCUGGGGCUGCAAGAGGUGAGAAGGAGCCUUCGGAGGGAACAUGCACUGCUGAUUCCUUGAUUCCAGAUUUCUGACCUCCAGAAGCAUGGGAGAACAGAUUUCCCUUGUUUGAAGGCACCCAGUCUGUGGUCCUUCAUCAUGGCAGCCCUCAGGAAUGGAUACAGGCCCUUCCCUGCCUGCCUGGUGGAGCAGCCUCCAAGGGGAGCCUUUGCUAGCAGGAAGAGGCAUCGCAUGGAGCUCAGACCCGCCUCAGAGGAACUUCUCUCAGCCUCCUCUCUCCGCACACCCGACCAAGAUACAAGCAAGGAAACGUGUGGCAUCUGGCUACCAUGAGCUGAAGACAAAGCCUACAUGGGGAAAAGUGCAAAACCAGGAGAAUGGGAGAGAAAUGGAGCCACGCACUGAUGCUGUUGUGAAACAUCUCAAUCAAACUGCACCUGAAGACCGCCCUAUCCCUGCAUUUUUCAUUUACAUGAGCCAAUAAACUCUCUCAUUUAAGUCA